ensembl:lncRNA
UGAGGCUUCUGCCUUGGAGCCAGCUGAUCACGGACAGAAUCCUCUGAAACAGUGUGCCAAAAUAAGCCAUUUCCUCCUCUAAAUUAUGGAUCUCAGAUGGGGAAACUGAGACAUGUGAUGGUGAAGUUCAUGGAGGGCUCUCCUCAGAAUCCUGGUCUGGCCUAGAUGGGUGAUGUCAAACCUACAUGAUGAGCUACACAUAGUACAACUAGCGACUGCCAUCAGCCUCCAAUGGUGGAAGUUAAUAGGCAAACAAAAACAGAUUGUCCUUCACCAUGGAGCAUUUAAGAAACACUGAUGUACUCUGGAUGUGAUUAAGGAUAGGCUUUUGCCUCUGUUCCAAGAUCCAACCUUCUCCAUUAAUUUGAGAGGGAAGACUGCAGUGUAAUUGGCCCAGCAUUCAGUUCUCCAGGAAUGAAC